CUGCUUCGCUGACGAGUGGCGGACGGGUGAGUAAUGUCUGGGAAACUGCCUGAUGGAGGGGGAUAACUACUGGAAACGGUAGCUAAUACCGCAUAACGUCGCAAGACCAAAGAGGGGGACCUUCGGGCCUCUUGCCAUCGGAUGUGCCCAGAUGGGAUUAGCUAGUAGGUGGGGUAACGGCUCACCUAGGCGACGAUCCCUAGCUGGUCUGAGAGGAUGACCAGCCACACUGGAACUGAGACACGGUCCAGACUCCUACGGGAGGCAGCAGUGGGGAAUAUUGCACAAUGGGCGCAAGCCUGAUGCAGCCAUGCCGCGUGUAUGAAGAAGGCCUUCGGGUUGUAAAGUACUUUCAGCGGGGAGGAAGGUGCUGAGGUUAAUAACCUCAGCAAUUGACGUUACCCGCAGAAGAAGCACCGGCUAACUCCGUGCCAGCAGCCGCGGUAAUACGGAGGGUGCAAGCGUUAAUCGGAAUUACUGGGCGUAAAGCGCACGCAGGCGGUCUGUCAAGUCGGAUGUGAAAUCCCCGGGCUCAACCUGGGAACUGCAUUCGAAACUGGCAGGCUAGAGUCUUGUAGAGGGGGGUAGAAUUCCAGGUGUAGCGGUGAAAUGCGUAGAGAUCUGGAGGA
rnacentral:rRNA from 1 species